rnacentral:rRNA from 1 species
CGCCUGAGUGNAUAAUUCAACGGCCGCGGUAUCCUAACCGUGCAAAGGUAGCAUAAUCAUUUGUCUACUAAUUAUAGACCAGUAUGAAAGGCAAAAUGAAGGUCUAACUGUCUCUUAUAAUAAAUCGAUUAAACUGAUCUCCCAGUAAAAAAGCUGGAAUUCCAACAUAAGACCAGAAGACCCUGUGAAGCUUAAACUACACUAUUAAACCCUAUAAUAGCUACUUUCGGUUGGGGCGACCUUGGAAAAAAAAAGAACUUCCAAACUAUGACCAUACUACCCUAGGCCCACAAGCCACAAACGACCCAGCAUAGCUGAUAUUGAACCAAGUUACUCCAGGGAUAACAGCGCAAUCCUCUUCAAGAGCCCAUAUCAAAAAGAGGGUUUACGACCUCGAUGUUGGAUCAGGACAUCCUGAUGGUGCAGCCGCUAUCAAGGGUUCGUUUGUUCAACGAUUAAUGUCCCACGUGAUCUG